rnacentral:rRNA from 1 species
GACGAACGCUGGCGGCGUGCCUAAUACAUGCAAGUCGAACGCAGUGGGGACGGGUGAGUAACACGUGGGUAACCUCCCAUCAGAGGGGAUAACACUUGGAAACAGGUGCUAAACCGAUACUGAUGGAUGGACCCGCGGGGCAUUAGCUAGUUGGUGCGGUAACGGCGCACCAAGGCCACGAUGCAUAGCCGACCUGAGAGGGGGAUCGGGCAAACUGGGGAUGAGACACGGCCCAGACUUCUACGGGAGGGAGCAGUAGGGAAUCUGUCGGAAUUGACGAAAGGUUGAACCAGCAACGCCGCGGGAGUGAAGAAGGGUUUCGGAUCGUAAAACCCUGUUGGUUGGGAAGCGGUAUCUAACCAAAAAGCCCCCGCUUAAUACGUGGCAGCAGCCGCGGUAAUUC